CUUCAUCCACCUUCAAGGAUUGCGAUGUGCUUUGGACUGACUACCAUCAAAAGUUGGUUGAUCAUGCGCUCAUAUCCAUGGAUACCUAUUUGGGACAGUUUCCUGAUAUUAAGGCUCGUAUUGCCAAGCGGGACAGAAAGUUGGUGGAUUACGACAGUGCCAGACACAACUAUGCCACCACGCAUAAGACCAA